AGAGUUUGAUCCUGGCUCAGGAUGAACGCUAGCGGCAGGCCUAAUACAUGCAAGUCGAACGGUAAAUAUUUAGCAAUAAAUAUGAGAGUGACGUACGGGUGCGUAACACGUAUGCAACCUACCCUUUACAGGCGGAUAGCUCGGGGAAACUCGAAUUAACCCGCCGUAAUAUAAUUGGAUGGCAUCAUCUGGUUAUUAAAUCUACGGAGGUAAAGGAUGGGCAUGCGUCUGAUUAGUUAGUUGGCGGGGUAACGGCCCACCAAGACGAUGAUCAGUAGGGGAACUGAGAGGUUGAUCCCCCACACUGGCACUGAGAUACGGGCCAGACUCCUACGGGAGGCAGCAGUAGGGAAUAUUGGUCAAUGGAUGGAAGUCUGAACCAGCCAUGCCGCGUGCAGGAAGAAGGCCUUCUGGGUUGUAAACUGCUUUUGCCAGGGGAUAAAAUGACCUUGCGAGGUUAAUUGAAGGUACCUGGUGAAUAAGCCACGGCUAACUACGUGCCAGCAGCCGCGGUAAUACGUAGGUGGCAAGCGUUGUCCGGAUUUAUUGGGUUUAAAGGGUGCGUAGGCGGCUUAUUAAGUCAGUGGUGAAAUACUCUAGCUCAACUAGAGGGGUGCCAUUGAUACUGAUGAGCUUGAGUACAGAUGAGGUAGGCGGAAUUGACGGUGUAGCGGUGAAAUGCUUAUAUCGUCAAGAACACCUAUAGCGAAGGCAGCUUACUAGGCUGUAACUGACGCUGAGGCACGAAAGUGUGGGGAUCAAACAGGAUUAGAUACCCUGGUAGUCCACACUGUAAACGUUGAUUACUCGCUGUGUGCGAUAUACAGUACGCGGCCAAGCGAAAGCGAUAAGUAAUCCACCUGGGGAGUACGCCGGCAACGGUGAAACUCAAAGGAAUUGACGGGGGUCCGCACAAGCGGUGGAGCAUGUUGUUUAAUUCGAUGAUACGCGAGGAACCUUACCUGGACUAGAAUGCCCUUGACCGAUCCAGAGAUGGAUUUUUCCGCAAGGACAAGGAGCAAGGUGCUGCAUGGCCGUCGUCAGCUCGUGCCGUGAGGUGUUGGGUUAAGUCCCGCAACGAGCGCAACCCCUAUUUUUAGUUGCCAACAGGUUAAGCUGGGGACUCUAAAAAGACUGCCCGCGCAAGCGGAGAGGAAGGAGGGGACGACGUCAGGUCAUCAUGGCCCUUACGUCCAGGGCUACACACGUGCUACAAUGGCGUAUACAGAGUGUUGCAAACCAGCGAUGGUAAGCCAAUCAC
rnacentral:rRNA from 1 species